CAUCAAACUCGCACUAAGGCCACACGUUAAAAAGGAAAAAAGGAAAAGAGAGGAAGAAGGUCUUCCCAGUCUUGUAGAUAACAGUCGCUUUCUCUCCAGCCCCCCCCCCAUCUGUCUGUCCUUAAGACACCAUCCUGAUGAUAUACCUUUUUUGUGUUCGGUGACGUUGCUUCCAGAAUGUAUCGCAAUCAUGUAAUGUCCUGAUAAUGUUAAUUCUUGGUCACACGUGGUUCUGUCAAUGAUUUUUAUCUGCGGGGUCUACCUUGUGACCUACAUGAGUAAAGUAUGCAUGUGACUCUUUUGUACUGGAGACCAUGUAUAUUAGGUGCACAUCCUUAAUACUUAUUUAUGUAUUGAAUACUGACAGUUCUAUGAUUCAAUGUUCAGUAAAAGAGAUUCAAUUGUUGUAGUUUGAUUGAUUUUGGGUGAGAGAAGAGCCUUCUCUUUUUCAGUACUUGACUUCAGGUGUGGAGACAUUUUUGUAAAAAAAAUCUGAGAGAGAGAGGGCGACUGAAGGACAUUAAUGCAGACAAAAGGUUUGGCUGGUAUCGUCUUCUUCUGAACCAUAUUUGUUACCUCAAUAAAUGAUCUUAUAUGAUGAUAUAACAUGUCGAUAGAAUUAGAUCAUUUUUGUCUGUUUGAAACGUAGCAUCGGAAGCACUAGAGGAUUCAGUUAGAUGUGAACCUUGGGCAUAUCAUGGUACUGUCUUCUAGAAAAGUCCUAUGUCUUUUGAUGUCCAUUAUCAUUGAUUCUAAAAGUCUUCUGGUUUGUUUCUGUGGUCAGUAAUGCCUAUAUACGACAUUCCUAAUAUGUUGUUAUGUUUGCAACAUAAUGUUAUAAUAGUCGCAGGCAUAUAGUUUCAUGUCCCUUGUAACCUGUUGAAAUAUCCACAUGGGUAUGGUCCGCAGUCUGGUCUCUUCGAUGUUAACAUUCACGUACACUAGUCAAGAGGAACCGUUUUGGUGAAAUAAAGGUUAUGUUAAAGUUGUACUUUAUAAUUUCCAUGGUUGAAGUAUAUGAUCAUGUUCUGCUAAUUGAAGCUGAGUUAAUUUUAUCCUUUAUAGUAAUUACCAAAUUAAACCCAACAAUGAAAAUGACGUUCUUCUCUAUAUCAUUACACAAAGUAAAAUAAUAUAACAAGACGUGUGUUAUACUAAUAGACAACAAUUGAUCAAAAAAAGUUUUGUAGUAAGUUGUGUUGCGUGCUUGUUGGUGGUGGUCGGUUAAUCUUUGGGAGCUGACAUUCCCAUGUGGUCCAAACCGAACCAAACCAAUAUGAUCCACCACAUUUUUUCCUUCCUUCAUAUUUGCUCCCAUGAUUUAAAUGUUUCUAAUUCUUAUUUUACUGAUCCAGACUUUCGGUUCAAUUAAUUCUGCCUUUGUAAACACUAAACAUUAAACACUUAUUUCCAUCAAAACAUUAAUCGCAGUUUUGUAUUUUUUUCUAACAUACCCAACAAGAGUUGUUGGUAUGCAUUCAACUGUAGCUAAUAGUGGAAUGUCUUUUCGGUUGACACAAGCUCGCUUCUUCAUGUCGUUACUUACAAAAGAAUAUAGAUUCUUUCACAACUCCAAGAUCCUAUAGCCUAUUUGAUUAUGAUCUAGGAGUUAGAUUAGAUGAACGGGCUUGUCAAUAAUGCACGAUAGAUUCAUAUUAAUAUGUGGGGUUUGCUUGACAACAGUCUUUUUAAUAAUUUUAUUGAGCAAAAAAGUCUAUAUUUUCGAGAAUUAAGAAAGAAAUGAGAGAGAGACUGCAGAAAAAACGCGCGUGAGGUAGAAAAGAUGUUAAAAAGUUGGCAAAGUCAACCGAGAGUUCUUCUGGGGAAAAGAGAGGUCUCGUGCAUUCGUAAGAGCAUCCACAAUGGUGAUACCCAUUGUGGAGUCCUUAGGAAUAAAAUAUUCUUUUUUUUUUUUUUUUGAAUAGUUAAGUACUCUUGUAAAAAAUGUGUGUACAAUGGUGAACCCGAAAUUGAAAUCCUUAGGAAUAAAAAAAUAUAUAUUUUAUUCUUGUUUAGUGAAAUAUAAUUUUUAUAUAUUGAAUGAUUAAAUAGAAUAACUUAACAUCAACUAUUAGAAAUAAACUUUAAAAAUAAUAAUUAAACAUAUAAAUAUAACAAUUAAAAAUAAAAACAAUAAAUAUAAAGAAAUCAAGAAACACAAAUUAAACAUAAAGAUACAUUAAUUAAACAUUAAGAUACAAUAAUUAAACAUAACAAGGAAUUUUUUAAAAAUACAAUAAUUAAACAUAAAGAUAGAAGGAUUUUUAAUCCUCGUCACCAAAUUUGUUCCAAAUAUGCUCGACUAAAUCAUUUUUCAGAUGGUCAUGUAUUCUCCUAUCUCGAACAUCAUUCCGACUGGGAAAAAUAUUAUUGAGAAUUGUAGGAAUCUCGGUUUCCACCUGUGAACUUCUCAUGACGUCACCUUCUUCAAAUUCAGAUAUAUCAUAACGAAUGUAUCCAUCCCGUUCAUCUUCGACUAUCAUGUUGUGUAGUAUGAUACACGCUCUCAUAAUCUUCCCUAUCUUUGCUUUGUCCAACGUAAGAGCCGGGUUUCUCACAAUCGCAAAUCGCGCUUGUAAUACUCCAAAAGCCCGCUCCACAUCUUUUCGGGUUGCUUCUUGAUGUUUAGCAAAUAACUCUUGUUUUGGUGAUUGAAGGAGUGAGAUGGAUUGGAUAAAGGUUGACCAUUUUGGAUAUUACAGGGAUUCUCUGAACUUGGAGUUGAAACCUCCAGCUGUCCGCAAUAUCAUGGACAUGAACGCACUCUUCGGAGGAUUUGCUGCAGCCCUUGCAUCUGAUCCUGUGUGGGUUAUGAAUGUCAUCCCAUCUCGGAAGCAAUUAACUCUUGACGUGAUUUAUGACAGAGGUCUCAUCGGUGUUUACCAUGAUUGGUUAGUCACUUUUGCUUUUUAUAUAUUUGGUCCAAACCAAGACGUGGCAUUGAGUAAUAAAACCCCUUUUAUAUUGGUUCGUGCAGGUGUGAACCCUUUUCAACGUAUCCCCGUACGUAUGAUUUCAUCCACCUAUCAGGAAUUGAAUCACUGACAAGCAAAUCCAGGUAUAACCAUUCUCAGUUGCUAAACAUGUCUCUCUGUUCUAUCAACUUCACCUAAACUGAAUUGUUUGAUAUGCAUACAGGUGUAGCCUAGUAGAUCUAAUGGUAGAGAUGGACAGAAUAUUGCGUCCAGAAGGAAAGGUACUGAUCCGAGACACUCCUGAGGUGCUAGACAAAGUAGCACGAAUGGCCCAUGCUGUAAGAUGGUCUUCUUCAAUACAUGACAAAGAACCUGAAUCUCAUGGAAGAGAGAAGAUCCUUGUCGCAACCAAACCUCUCUGGAGAAUGCCAUCAAACUCGCACUAAGGCCACACGUUAAAAAGGAAAAAAGGAAAAGAGAGGAAGAAGGUCUUCCCAGUCUUGUAGAUAACAGUCGCUUUCUCUCCAGCCCCCCCCCAUCUGUCUGUCCUUAAGACACCAUCCUGAUGAUAUACCUUUUUUGUGUUCGGUGACGUUGCUUCCAGAAUGUAUCGCAAUCAUGUAAUGUCCUGAUAAUGUUAAUUCUUGGUCACACGUGGUUCUGUCAAUGAUUUUUAUCUGCGGGGUCUACCUUGUGACCUACAUGAGUAAAGUAUGCAUGUGACUCUUUUGUACUGGAGACCAUGUAUAUUAGGUGCACAUCCUUAAUACUUAUUUAUGUAUUGAAUACUGACAGUUCUAUGAUUCAAUGUUCAGUAAAAGAG
rnacentral:lncRNA from 1 species